UUAGAUCUGGUAAACUUCUCAGAUCCAUGUUUCACUAUCAAGUAGUUGAUUUUGAUCCACAAAAGAUCAAGGCUACUUUUGAGAUACCGAAACUUCAGAAUCUGAAGCUGCUAAAACCUUUCAAUGGAGUUUAGCAGGCAUCUGAAGUUAUAUUUCUAACAUCUCUGGUUGUGUCUGUCCCUUUUCAGAACUGAUGAAAGACGUGAGUUUUGAAUGUGAUGAAUCAUGUCAAUAAGUAUUUGACAGGAUCAAGAUUUAUUUGCUUAGCCAACAGUUUUAGUGGACCUAUUUAAUGCAAGCCUCUCAUUACCUGCCUAUUUGAGAGUUUUAUUUGCUUAACAUAAUGAAGAAAGCCAGGACAAUUGUUAUUAUCUUAUCCGAAUGUUGGUAGGGGCUGAAUACGGUUGUUCUACCAAGAUUGUCUCAUUACCUGCCUAUGUAUAAUUAACCCUUUCCAAUUUUCCUCGUGCUUUAGGAAUGACGGGCUCAGAGUUGCUUGCUUUGCAAAAAGAGAAACUGCGUGCAAUGGACUUAAGAGAUACUUUGAAAAGAGUUGAUUAUGGUAUUCAGUUCACUAACAAAAGCAUUAGUAUGGUUNNNNNNNNNNNNNNNNNNNNUAUUUGUAGAGUUUAUUUGCUUAACAUAAUAGAAGAAAGACCAGGACAAUUGUUAUUAUCUUAUCCGAAUGUUGGUAGGGGCUGAAUACGGUUGUUCUACCAAGAUUGUCUCAUUACCUGCCUAUGUAUAAUUAACCCUUUCCAAUUUUCCUCGUGCUUUAGGAAUGACGGGCUCAGAGUUGCUUGCUUUGCAAAAAGA
rnacentral:lncRNA from 1 species